rnacentral:lncRNA from 1 species
AAUGCUUACAUAUAUGCCCCGUAUGAUGGUAUUAUUUGUAAAAAUAGUUUUGGAGGAGAAGAAAUUGGCAUUUUUACAAUGUGAAAGACUUUUACAAAGGAUUAAGACCUUAAUUACACAAGUGUCCCUCCAGUCACAUACUCGGUGAAGACUAAAGCUACCACCAGACCUAACAUGGCCAAACUUCCAUUCAACAACUCAGCAUCUGACAUCUGAUUUUGACUCCACGCUCACUCCUUUGAACAGAGGUAUCAAAGAUGCCACUGUUAGCAAAAUACUAGUGCCAACGAACAACGAGACUCCACCGUUGGAUAUCUGAGAAAACACAUCCUCGCCCUUGGAUAGCUCUACUGCCACAACAGGGGAAAUAAGCUUUACUAAAGGAGAAAUAUCAACUGGUAGCUCUACCUCUACGCCCCAGCAAGGAUACCCUCCCCACAAAAUAGGAGACCAACAGAAACCAAAGACAGAGGUGGCUGAUCGGCCCAACUUUCCAGUUCUGUAUUUAUGAGUAUAUUUGGUCCCACAUUAGCAUGACAAGAAUGUUUGUCAUAAAACAGAGGAUGUUUUUAGUAAUAAGCUUUAUUGGCCUUCUUCAACUAGAAAGUGUUUAGUGUCUAGUGUUUAGGCUUAUUGGCCUCCUUCCUAAUUUUGGCUUAUUGCCCUUUAUCACUAGCUUGAUUACAAACGGAAAGCUUAAUGCCUAUUUAUAGAGGGAACAAACCAAGUAGUAAAAUCGGUUAUUCUAGUAAACCGACAUUAACUUGUAAUUCCAGCCACAUAUUGUAGCUUCAAUUGAGUUAGUGACUAGUGUUUAGGGAAUAGACUUUGCAUAAAUUAUUCUAGAAAAUUCUCUGCUAGCUUGUAGAAGUCUCCACCAAAUGUGCAUUAUUUUUCAACAACUUAUAAACUGGUUCAAGACUUUUCAACCUUAAUGACUUCAGAGUGAUAAACACGAAAUAAACUACUUGUAGAAUAAGUUAUGAUCAAAGACGAUAAACUUGACUUCAAGUCAUUACAUUAAUGGAAGAGGGUCCGUGCAUAUGGAAUCUGCUCCGCGAACAAGAAUGUGUGUGGUGAUGAUGAUCAAUGACUUAUAAUCUGGUUCAAGACUUUUCAACCUAAAUAACUUUAGAGUGAUAAAUACGAAAUAAACUACUUGGUUUCUCUCUCUUCUUUCAUAAUUCAUCACACACGUUAUUGUGAGAAAAGUCGACGUACUCAAAGAAACAUAUACCGCAUUACAUGUAAGUUUCUCUCAUUGAAAUGCGACGUGGUUAUGUUUCUCUCAUUGUAACGGACGUGGCUGCAGCACAUACAUAUGCGCGCUAGUCAGUGGUGACAUUAAUUUGUUCAGGGUCUUCACUUUUUUGAUGCUUUGAGCAGGACGGCCGAUGUCUCACGGGGCCACGAGUACGUUAGUAAUAGCAGUCAAACUGGCCCUUCCCUGUCAUUGAAGAAAAAAUACAGAUGAUUACAUAUACGUGCUCUGGCUCUCUCACAGUCAGUUGCAUUUGUUCGAUAGCUUGGAGAGCCUUAUGGACAUUUUUUGUUGUGUUGUCCAUACAUGGUGGUACGAGGGACGUGGCUCCCCAGACACAGCACAACGUCUCAGUCACUGAUUUCUGAGGUCCCAUUUGUUCAAGGUUUUCACUUUGUAUUGUAGCUUGGCACUUGCAUAUGCACAACACAAAGAAUCUUAGCUGUAUGCACGGAUUCUUAUGGAACAAAGCUACUAAGCUAGUGUGACAUUUCGUAAUUGGAAAAAUUGAGUGAUUAGCUUAAUAAGUUGAGUGACAUUUCGUAAUUGGCCCCAAUAAAUUCAUGUUAAUUUCACUGCGGGGUAUGAUAUAUUAGCCUAAAAGGCAUCCAAAGUGAUUUUUCAGAAAUUGUUUUUAUGAUCCAGAAAUACUUUAAAGUUAUUUUUUUCUUAUUUUGCCAACCCAUAUUACUUUUGGUUGCUUUUAAUCCUUUCAAAAUCAAUCCCAAUAAAGACACGUAGAUCAAUAUCACACCACACCACACCUACCUUACUCCUUGGAUGCCCUUCUUUCGGAUAUAAUUCUUUUCUAGGUGUAUACGUAUAAGGUUGGGUUUGGAGUAAUCAAACUCACAUGGAAGAUCCCUAUUUUAACAUGGUCAUCAAGCAACAUGUGUUUGUUUUUUUUUUCAAUAUUGAUGUGCGUAAUUAAGAAUUUUUUAACAGGUGGGCUAACUAAAUUUUAUUAUUAAUUUAAUAAUUAUUUUUUGAUGGAAACUUUUUUUUAAUAAUUAUUUUUUGAUACUUACAGUUUCUAUAGUUUUUUUUAGAAAUAAAUGUAUACAUUAAAUCACAUAAAUCAUGCUAAUUGUAAACACAAUAAUAAUAAAAAUUGAAAUUAGAGCCAUAUUAUUCACAAAAUGGUGAAUUUUAUUUAUAAAAAUGCUUCUCUUUUAGAGAUAAAUUAAUGAAAAAAUUAUUAAAAUUGAUGUUGGCACAAUCACCAAAUACAAACGUGGAAGACUUCUGGCUAUAUAUAUGCCUAUUGGUGUAGAUAAUGUAUGAAAUUGUAUAUUUAUUUAUUUAUUUUUGGAUUAAAAUACUGAGCUAUAUAUAGGUUUUUUUUUUCCUUUCCCAAAAACCUUCCCUGGGCUACAGCCCAUGGCGGCAUCAAUGUUUGAUACUUGAGAGAGACUAAUUAAGCAUUAUCUUUAGGCUUAAUGAUAUUAAGGGUAUGCAUAUUAAGAUCAUGGAGUAUGAAAAUUGUGAUAUUCUUAUAAAGAUUCGUACAGACUAAUUACAUGUGGAAAAGUUCUACAACAAUGAUUAAGACCUACACUAGGGUUCCUCCCUUCACAUACUCAGUGAAGGCCAAAGCUACCAGACCUAACAUGGCCAACCUUCCAUUCCACAGCUCAGCAUCUGAAGUCAUUAUCCCAUCUGAUUUCGACUCCACGCUCACCCCUUUGAACAGAGGAAUCACAGAUGCCACCGAUAGCAAAAUGCUUGUGGCAAGGAACAAGGACACUCCACCGUCGGAUAUCUGAGCAAACACAUCCUGCCCCUUGGAUAGCUCCACUGCCAGAGCUGAAACAAACCCCACCAUUGCAAGCCUGCCGUUGAUCCUCUCUGGGGCUGGCCCACUGAAUGCAAACACAUCGGAGAACUUUGUGCUAACCUUAGGACUACGCUUAGGAGAAGGAGUAGGUGUAGGAGGUGGUGGAGGAAUUCUAGAUGCCUCUGGUGUUGUAGAUGGUUGCUCUUCCUGACCAUUCUGCACAUGAAACAUUAAUUAAUCAUGGUUCAUUAGGAUCACUAAUUUAAUUACUACAGCUAAAACUGCACAUAACCCAAAAGACAAAUACAAUUCAGGCACCAAG